UACGUAGGGGGGCAAGCGUUGUCCGGAAUCAUUGGGCGUAAAGAGCGUGUAGGCGGUCCGGUAAGUCGGCUGUGAAAGUCCAGGGCUCAACCCCUGGGGAUGCCGGUCGAUACUGCCGGACUAGAGUUCGGAAGAGGCGAGUGGAAUUCCCCGGGUGUAGCGGUGAAAUGCGCAGAUAUCGGGGAGGAACACCUAUGGCGAAGGCAGCUCGCUGGGACGUUACUGACGCUGAGACGCGAAAGCGUGGGGAGCAACAGG
rnacentral:rRNA from 1 species